rnacentral:rRNA from 1 species
UACGAAGGGGGCUAGCGUUGCUCGGAAUCACUGGGCGUAAAGGGCGCGUAGGCGGACUCUUAAGUCGGGGGUGAAAGCCCAGGGCUCAACCCUGGAAUUGCCUUCGAUACUGAGAGUCUUGAGUUCGGAAGAGGUUGGUGGAACUGCGAGUGUAGAGGUGAAAUUCGUAGAUAUUCGCAAGAACACCAGUGGCGAAGGCGGCUCACUGGCCCGAUACUGACGCUGAGGAGCGAAAAGCUAGGGGAGCAAACGGG